UGUCAGUGUUAUGCAGGUUUUUCAACUUGUAUGAGAGAAUAAUUAGUCUUCUUUACAGGACUUCGUAAUAUUUUAUCAAAAAAUAAAAUGUAUACAUUUACAAUAAUUUGCCUAUUGGCAGUUGUGCUUGCUAGCUUUCACCAUUAGUUUCAUAGUGUGCAAACCUGAUGAAAUAUCACACUUCAGUCCACUGAUUGUAAUAACUAUUGAUGGGGUUUUUGUGAAGAUCUGGGGAAAAGAAGGAUGGCCGUUCAAGGCCACUUGAGAAAUCAGUCAUUAGAAAUUGUGGUUGUAAUAUGAAUAGAUUUAUGCCCUGCUCAUGGAAAAAUAUGAACUACGUGAACAAGCAGACAACUGUCAAAUAUAGCAUGUACCUCUUUUCAAAUGUAAUCAUUAUUACACCUUCCAUAGGUUUGUUGGUCAUUUUUGGUGAAAUUUUCUUUGCUUAAUAACAGACAAAAAGGUUAUAUUUCAACACUUUAAUACAAAGUAGGAAAUAACAUGACAUAUGCAAUAAAAUACUUUCCACAUACUCAACAUUUUCACAUAUAUCUUUCCAAAAUUGACUUUUUAACCAGAGAACAGUCAUAUCACAUAAGCAAAAAAAUAAAAAAACUUAACCUUUUUAAAUAUCACAGUCUUUAAAAAUGAUAAAAAAUGAACUUGCAAUAGUGUCUUUUUGUGAUGUCAUGUUCAUUCUCAUAUCUCUGCUCACAUUUUCUUUCAAAUUAGUUUUUACUUCACAAAAAUAAUUAUAUUCUCUGAAAUAGCAUAUUGAAUUAUUUUUAAAGUGGAAAUAUUAACCCUUAAAUAAACUGGUACAUUUUUCCUCAAAAACAAUUAAAUGUUGGUUGACUAAACUAGUCUUGAAUAAUGGCUUGGGUACUUU